GCCUCUUGGGGACUGGGCCCUGCUGAGUGCCUUCAUCUCGGCUGCAUCCCUGCUUCCCACUCCCUGAUUGCAUCGGGGCACAGAACCAGGGGCCAGGAGCUCCCUGACUGGUCACGCUGACUCUGAGCAGCGCUGGAAUCUGGCCUCCUCCCCCUCAUGUGGCUGACGCUGAUUUGCCAGUAACAGAGGCCCCUGACCCACGUGGCACGACCCGAGGCCCUUGGGGAUGCUGGUCCAUGAUGCCUGCCAUGCAACCAGGGGAGGCAGCCACCGUGAGGAGAGGCGGGGGCUGGCUCCUGGCAGUGUGUGGAGAGCUGGCCGCCCCACCGCCCCAACUUCCUGGGGGGCCCUGGACAC